CAAAUUUCUACUAUACUGUUUGUAAAGCUUAUCUUCACUACUAAAAACAUGUUAAAUAUGCAUUCACUUUGGUGAGGAAAAGUUUAUAUCACAUCUUUCUCAUAAAGAACAGAGUUCAGCCAUAAAACUAAACCAUCUGAUAUCUAUUUAAUCUUGUGUAUGUACGGAAACAUACAAAAAAUUUUAUUCCAUACAUACACAAGAUUUUAUUAAAUAGGUAGCAGAGAAGUGGAAGGUAUCAAGUUUUCUUAUAUUUUCUUCAUCGUCAGUGACUAGAAG
rnacentral:misc_RNA from 1 species